rnacentral:rRNA from 1 species
CCUACGGGAGGCAGCAGUGAGGAAUAUUGGUCAAUGGACGAGAGUCUGAACCAGCCAAGUAGCGUGAAGGAUGACUGCCCUAUGGGUUGUAAACUUCUUUUAUAUGGGAAUAAACUGUUCCACGUGUGGGCUUUUGUAUGUACCAUAUGAAUAAGGAUCGGCUAACUCCGUGCCAGCAGCCGCGGUAAUACGGAGGAUCCGAGCGUUAUCCGGAUUUAUUGGGUUUAAAGGGAGCGUAGGUGGAUUGUUAAGUCAGUUGUGAAAGUUUGCGGCUCAACCGUAAAAUUGCAGUUGAAACUGGCAGUCUUGAGUACAGUAGAGGUGGGCGGAAUUCGUGGUGUAGCGGUGAAAUGCUUAGAUAUCACGAAGAACUCCGAUUGCGAAGGCAGCUCACUGGACUGCAACUGACACUGAGGCUCGAAAGUGUGGGUAUCAAACAGGAUUAGAUACCCGAGUAGUC